rnacentral:sRNA from 1 species
UAGUGUAAAAUAACAUCAGUCUCCUAUGAU